rnacentral:rRNA from 1 species
UACGUAGGGUGCGAGCGUUAAUCGGAAUUACUGGGCGUAAAGCGUGCGCAGGCGGUUUUGUAAGCCAGAUGUGAAAAUCCCCCGGGCUUAACCUGGGAAUGGCAUUUGGGACUGCAAGGCUGGAGUACGGCAGAGGAGACUGGAAUUCCUGGUGUAGCAGUGAAAUGCGUAGAGAUCAGGAGGAAUACCGAUGGCGAAGGCAGGUCUCUGGGCUGAUACUGACGCUCAUGCACGAAAGGCGUGG